GACGCUAAAGAGAGCAGGCUUCAUGCGGUGGCAGUUUAGGGCGUGUUUCCUUGGGGAACGGGAGAGAAAAGUUGAGAGGCUAUGGAAUUGCCAAGGGGGAAAAACAACCACAGGACGACACACCCAGGAGGGAAAACUGAACCUGAGGAACUUCCAGAAAAGACACCUGGAGCAGGUGGAGAUGACAGGACGGUGAUGCAUAAAAGUGACACUCAGCCACUGUCAGCCAUGUGACUUUGGGCUCCUCCUGGUCUCCGCUGUCUCACCCUGAACUGACGUGGAUCAGCCUCUGGACCUCGGCUGCCUCUCUCUUUUGGCCUGGGGAGCCUGCCUCUGAAGCUCCUUAGUAUCUACAACUUUGUCCCUUGGAUUACUGGAUAGUGGUCUCAGCACUUUUCCUUGGACACUUCUCAGCUUAGGAAGGCUGUGUGGUGUAGUGGGUGAAACUGUCAAAGCUCCGGGUUUGAAUCCUGACUCUACCAUUUACUAGCCGGGCAACCUUGAACAAGUCACUUAACCCC